rnacentral:miRNA from 1 species
UUGGGAACAUUUUGCACCCUU